UACGUAGGGCGCAAGCGUUGUCCGGAAUUAUUGGGCGUAAAGAGCUCGUAGGCGGCUUGUCACGUCGGAUGUGAAAGCCCGGGGCUUAACUCCGGGUCUGCAUUCGAUACGGGCUGGCUAGAGUGUGGUAGGGGAAAUCGGAAUUCCUGGUGUAGCGGUGAAAUGCGCAGAUAUCAGGAGGAACACCGGUGGCGAAGGCGGAUCUCUGGGCCAUUACUGACGCUGAGGAGCGAAAGCGUGGGGAGCGAACAGG
rnacentral:rRNA from 1 species